UUAAUGGCGCUUUUGGCGUUCAUUAUAUGAAAUGAGUACAAUUUAAAAACCUUAACGAGGAACGAUUGGAGGACAAGUCUGGUGCCAGCACCCGCGGUAAUUCCAGCUCCAAUAGCGUAUAUUAAAGUUGUUGCAGUUAAAAAGCUCGUAGUUGGAUUUUGACUGGCUGUUGAGGACUUCAGCUCCGGCGCAAUGCUGUGAGCGACUCUCAGUCGGUCAGCUGAGCUGCUUGUCGGCUCGGCUUUUUCGAAUUGCACGCCCCGGUUACUUAAUCGUGCCGGGAGUUUGGGCAUCGAAUCGUUUACUUUGAAUAAAUUAGAGUGUUUAAAGCAGGCACAACCGGCCACUGAAUACUUUAGCAUGGGAUAAUAGAACAUGACUUUGAGACAUGUUUUGUUGGUUUUGCUUCUCAAAGUAAUGAUUGAAAGGGACAGUUGUGGGUAUUGGUAUUCUGUGGUCAGAGGUGAAAUUCUAAGAUUCACAGAAGACCGACUACUGCGAAAGCAUUUACCAAGGUUGUUUUCAUUAAUCAAGAACGAAAGUUGGGGAGAGAAGGCGAUUAGAUACCGCCGUAUUCCUAACCAUAAACUAUGCCGACCAGGGAUUCGAAGGUGUUUUAUUUGAAUGACUCUUCGGGCACCUUGUGAGAAAUCACAAGUAUUUAGGUUCCGGGGGGAGUAUGGUCGCAAGGCUGAAACUUAAAAGAAUUGACGGAAAAUCGCUACAAUGAGUGGAACUUGCGGCUCAAUUUGACCCAACACGGGAAAGCUCACCAGCCCCAGACGCGGGCAGGAUUGACAGAUUGAUAGCUCUUUCAUGAUUCCGCGGGUGGUGGUGCAUGGCCGUUUUUAGUUGGUGGAGUGAUUUGUCUGGUUAAUUCCGAUAACGAACGAGACCUUAACCUACUAAAUAGUCCAGCGAGCGUUAUUGACUGGGUGCUGUCGGCGCCUCCGGGCGUGUCUUGGCGGCCUGGCCAGCUCGCUGCGUUUACUUCUUAGAGGGACCAAUCGCUAAAGCGAUAGGAAGCUUGAGGCAAAAACAGGUCUGUAUGCCCUUAGAUGGGUUGGGCUGCACGCGUGUUACAAUGAUUCGUUCAACGAGUUUGUUUCCUGCUGCGAGAGCAGUGGGUAAUCUUUGAAAGCGAAUCGUACUGGGGAUUGAUGAUUGUAAUUAUUCAUCAUGAACGAGGAAUUCAUAGUAAGUGCAAGUCAUCAACUUGCGCUGAAUGCGUUACCGGUUUUUGUACACACCGCCCGUCGCUCCUACCGACUGAAUGAUCCGGCGAGGACCUGGGAUGAACUUUGAAUGGUUUGGGCUCCGGCCCUUUAAGACUGUUCAGUGGUCAAAACUUGUUCGAGCCUGAGCAUUUGGAGGAAGGAGAAGUC
rnacentral:rRNA from 1 species